GCAGCCAUCCUCAAGGGAAAUUUUUCCGAUAAUGGCUGCUCUGCUGAGGCGAAGGCGAAGGCUUGGGGCAGCAUUGUCUCUCGCCUAGCGGCACUCCACCCUGGCUUCAGCAGAUGCAUAAAGCAGUGCCAGAGACGCUGGCAAACUGUUAUGCAUGAAGCAAAAUCUAAAAUUAGUGCCUACCAAAAGGCCAGGAAUGGAACAGGUGGUGGCCUUCCGCCUACACCCCUCGGGGAGCUAGAGGUCAUCAUCGCUGAUGUGCUGGGAGAGGGGAACGUAUCAGUCAAUUCUAUUGACAGGACAGUGGUGGACCCUUUUCCACUUGACACUGAAGAUGUUCCCGAAAAUGGGAGUCUUCAGGUGGAUGUCACACCACCUGUCCCUCCCCAACCCAGCACAGACACACCUCAAACCACCACCACACCACCACCAGUAGUUCCUGCCGCUGCAGCUUCCUCCAGUACACCAGUUGGGACCUGCAC